GACGUAGGGGGCCAGCGUUGUUCGGAAUUACUGGGUGUAAAGGGUUCGUAGGCGGUGUAGCAAGUCGGGAGUGAAAUCUCUGGGCUUAACCCAGAGGCUGCUUCCGAAACUGCUGUGCUUGAGUGUGGGAGAGGCGCGUGGAAUUGCAGGUGUAGCGGUGAAAUGCGUAGAUAUCCGGAGGGACACCAGUGGCGAAGGCGACUUUCUGGCCUGUUCUUGACGCUGAGGCGCGAAAGCUUGGGGAGCAAACGGG
rnacentral:rRNA from 1 species